GACGAACGCUGGCGGCGUGCUUAACACAUGCAAGUCGAACGGAAAGGCCCUGCUUUUGUGGGGUGCUCGAGUGGCGAACGGGUGAGUAACACGUGAGUAACCUGCCCUUGACUUUGGGAUAACUUCAGGAAACUGGGGCUAAUACCGGAUAGGAGCUCCUGCUGCAUGGUGGGGGUUGGAAAGUUUCGGCGGUUGGGGAUGGACUCGCGGCUUAUCAGCUUGUUGGUGGGGUAGUGGCUUACCAAGGCUUUGACGGGUAGCCGGCCUGAGGGGGUGACCGGCCACAUUGGGACUGAGAUACGGCCCAGACUCCUACGGGAGGAAGCAGUGGGGAAUAUUGCACAAUGGGCGGAAGCCUGAUGCAGCAACGCCGCGUGCGGGAUGACGGCCUUCGGGUUGUAAACCGCUUUCGCCUGUGACGAAGCGUGAGUGACGGUAAUGGGUAAAGAAGCACCGGCUAACUACG
rnacentral:rRNA from 1 species